rnacentral:rRNA from 1 species
CCUACGGGAGGCAGCAGUAGGGAAUUUUCGGCAAUGGAGGGAACCCUGACCGAGCAACGCCGCGUGAACGAAGAAGUUAUUCGUAAUGUAAAGUUCUUUUAACAGGGAAGAAAAAGAAAUUUGACGGUAGCUUAAGUAUAAACUACGGCUAACUACGUGCCAGCAGCCGCGGUAAGACGGAGGGAUCGAACGUUAGACGGAAUUAUUGGCCGUAAAGGGUGCGUAGAUGGCUGAGUAAGGCUUUUGUAAAAAUGCUGGGUCAAACCCAGUAGGGCAAAAGAUACUGCAAAGCUAGAGUAUGACAGAGGUAAGUGGAACUACAGGUGUAGCGGUAAAAUGCGUAAAUAUAUGUAAGAACACCAGUGGCGAAGGCGGCUUGCUGGGUCGAUACUGACAUUGAGGCACGAAAGCGUGGGGAGCAAACAGGAUUAGAUACCCCAGUAGUC